UCGCACCUACCGAUUGAAUGAUUCGGUGAAAAUUUCGGACUAUGGCUGGGACGCCUUCGGGCGACUUAGUUGCAGGAAGUUGUUUAAACCUCAUCAUUUAGAGGAAGGUGAAGUCGUAACAAGGUUUCCGUAGGUGAACCUGCGGAAGGAUCAUUAUCACACCUUCUAAAAUA
rnacentral:rRNA from 2 species